CUCUUAUCGCGAGCUGGCUGAGGGACUGGCCCUAUGAUGCCCGGCAACCGGCGCUCAUCUACCACGUUGUAGUGAGCGAAACGGUGCUAAUUCCAACGGAUAAGAGUCAAGCGCCUGUCUUGACUUCUUACCCGAGAGAUGAGAG
rnacentral:ncRNA from 2 species